UUUUACAGAUGACACACUAAGGCGCAAGGCAGCUGCACAUCCACGGCCAGCCUCGUUGUCUUCAGGGAUUUGUUCAAAGUUCAUUCUGAAUUGUAAGGUAACCACUGCAGAACACGAGCCUUUCCUGGGUAUGUGUGGUUAUUUCUGCCCUUCACGGUCCCACUCAAGUCCUGCCUCCCUCAGGGAGACCUCCCAGACCUCACCAAGCCGUGGGCACGUGGACCAGAAGCCGUGGACCCCAGAGGCUCAUUUAGGGAUCUGCUUUCUGAACCCAGGUCCUAACAUCUGCACUGCAGCGAGCAUUUCUGGUGCCUCAAGUGAGUCACUCCAACUUCCAGGAGCCACCAGCCACAGGCAGCCACUGAGCCCUUGGCAUGUAACCCGGUAACCCAUGCAACAGAAGACCUGAGCGUCCAGUGUUGCUAGCUUGAAGUAACUUCAGUGGUGUUCCCCAGCGUUUUUCUCAUCCCCCUCCCUUCCCUUCCCCUACAGCUUUCUUCCUCUUUCCCCUCCUUCUGAGUCUUUCGUCCCCAGUCCUGGGAACCUUUUUUCUGACUUGGUGUUUUCUCCUGAAUGCCUCCUUCCUGGCCCCCUAAUCAGAAAUGCAGAAGCCACCUGCCCCACACAGGGGGCCACUUUCCCUGCAUCUGGCACUCACCAGGACAGUCAUAGAACUGGCCUUGGGUGCUUGGGGAGAGUGGAGAGGUCUGGGGGGCAUCCACUGGCCUCAGCCUCAGAGCUUCUCAUCAGUAACCCAGGAGGCAAAGGCCCAGCUCAAGAUUAGCCCAGGCCACUGUAUCUGUGCCAAGACCUACAGCUGUCCCUGCAGGGCGUGCAUCUCUGCAGCCCAGGCUAUCACAAUGGUGUCCCUUUUGGUGGGGAUGUGAGGCCUGCUGCUGCCUGGGAAGAAGCUGACAGGAUUGUUGGUGCUGUGGGGAGAAGCUGGUGUAACUGAGACCCAUGAGGGAGGCCCUUUGUGGGUCUGUGGCUGGGAGGAGCUCUGGGGAAGAUGGGCCUUGAGAAAUCCCAGCUUAGCACCUUUGACAGUUGCUCCACUGAGUCACCCUAGACUGCAAUCUCACAGAUGUUCUAACCACCCUCUCCCUGGGGAGCCCUUGGGGGUGCUGCAAGCCCAGUCCUCACUCACUGGCUUUGUGCUUCUCUUCCCGACUUCCUUUUUUUGCUCCUGUUGAGAAAUGUGGGUCCAGGGCUGCGUGCUCCAGUGUGCGGAAGGAAGGGCAGCGUGCUCUUUGGACUGAGCUGGCUCAAGGGAAGCUGGGUCUGAGGGGAGACUGACCUCGACCCUUCUUAAAUGAAACACCUUUUCCCUGCGUCUCAGUCACCGUUACCUGGCCUGAUCACUGUGUGCCACACCCCAUCACAUCCAUCCCCACAAGAAUGCCAGGAGGAGGGGUCAUUGGCCUUUUUGUCAGCACAAACCUCUGGAGGCCCAGCUCCCAAGACCCGCCAGGCACACCUGCCAGAGUGCCUUAACUUGGGAUGUCUGCAAACCUCUGUCCAUGGCCGAACCCACCCCACUGCCUGUUACUGUAAAUAAAGGUCUAUUAGCAUGCCACCAUGCCCCUCCUCCGAUGCAUACAGUGCCCAGCUCAGCACCUGGUGCAAGUAAGCACAAUCUGGCUUCCAGCCAUCACUGCUGUUGCUACUAACACAAAUAUUAGGCCCCUUCUAGAAUGCAAAGAUAACCCAGGGCUGCUCGUUCUGUGUCCAGAUCACAGAGUUUUUCUUUUUAUCCUUAUCAACUUUAUUGAGGGAUAAUUUACAGGCAAUAAAUCAUAUCCAUUUAAA
rnacentral:lncRNA from 1 species